AUCUCCAGCCUCACGCCCCCCAUCUUGUCUCCGGGCCGCCCGCCCCGCCCCGCCCCGCCCCCGCGCGCUGCCAUUGGCCCUGGCCCCCGUCACUCAGCGCCGCCGACGCCACGGGAUUGGCCGCUUGGGCCGGGGGGGCAGUUGCCAUGGCGACCGAUGGAUGUCCCGCCCCCCCCCCCCGGUGUUGCCCGGGCGACAGGCGACAGGCCCAGUGCGGCCCAGGCAGGCGGUGGAGAGAGGGCGGGCCCUGGGGGCGCCUCAGGGUAGGGGGGCAUCAUCAUCAUCAUCAUCAUCAUCGCCGGUAGCGGGAGACUGCAGACUGGAGGCCGGAGCUGCACCGGGAGCAGCGGCUACGGGAGGCCGGGCCGGGCCGGGCCGGGUAGUGCACGGAUAUUUGUUUUAAUCAUAGGAGCAGAAUUAGGCCAUUCGGCCCAUCAAGUCUACUCCGCCAUUCAAUCAAGGCUGGUCUUGAUCAAGAAGAAAGACGUCUAUCUCUCCCUCCUGAUUCUGAUUCAGAUUCAACUUUAAUUGUCAUUGUACAGAGACAACGAAAUGCAGUAACCCCAUUCUCCUGCCUUCUCCCCAUAACCCCUGACACCCGCACUAAUCAACGAUCUAUCAAUCUCUGCCUAAACAUUUCAAUUUCUCUAACUUCAAAUAACUAUUGCUUUCCCUCUCUCUCUGUCCCUCCCCACCAGAGUUAUCUGUCUAGUUGUACUGUCUUCCUGAUUAAUUUUACUGAUUCUCUACCACCUUCCCCAUAGCCAACCAUGAACCAUUCUACAUUUCCUUACCAUCUGCUUUGAUCUGUCGUUUUCACAUCUAACCCUUCCAUAUCACAGGCAAUUAGACACUAAGUUACAGGGAGAAGACAAGAGAAUGGGGUUGAGGGAGAAAAAUAGAACAGCCACAGUUGUGGACAACGCCUUUUACAGACCAUGAAUGUUAAAGUUUUAAUGGGCUAGAAGGCUUGGUACUUGAAGAUGGAAGUAUUUUGCGAGAAUUGCUCACAGCCUGCAGAUCGAGGAACACUGUAACCAUGCAUUACUCAACAUCUCAAGUCCUCUUCAGAAGGGCAAGUUGACCUGAGCUUUUUGAUCAAAGUCUCAUGAUUUUGUUGAAUAUCUACAGCCGGAAAACAAAAUCACAUUUUCUGAGCGGAUGUGUGGCCUCGAAUUAAAAAGGGAGGAAUAGGACAUUAUUUACCUCAUUGAAAUUCCAGGCACUUAGAUGAGUUCAAAUAACAACAAGGACCUGUUGAAUAGAGAAAGGUUGAUAACAGUGAAGCUGAUAAUAACAGCCAAGCUGGGAAAUUCAUGUUUCAUUUAUAAAAGCACUAUUCAAACCCC